CCUACGGGAGGCAGCAGUGGGGAAUAUUGGACAAUGGGGGGAACCCUGAUCCAGCCAUGCCGCGUGUGUGAAGAAGGCCCUCGGGUUGUAAAGCACUUUCAGCGGGGAAGAACGCCUGGUGGUUAAUACCCAUCAGGAAAGACAUCACUCACAGAAGAAGCACCGGCUAACUCCGUGCCAGCAGCCGCGGUAAUACGGAGGGUGCGAGCGUUAAUCGGAAUUACUGGGCGUAAAGCGCGCGUAGGUGGCUUGAUAAGCCGGUUGUGAAAGCCCCGGGCUCAACCUGGGAACGGCAUCCGGAACUGUCAAGCUAGAGUGCAGGAGAGGAAGGUAGAAUUCCCGGUGUAGCGGUGAAAUGCGUAGAGAUCGGGAGGAAUACCAGUGGCGAAGGCGGCCUUCUGGACUGACACUGACACUGAGGUGCGAAAGCGUGGGUAGCAAACAGGAUUAGAUACCCUGGUAGUC
rnacentral:rRNA from 1 species